AGAAAUCAUAUAAUUUUAAUAUUGGUAUUCCUUCUCUUUUCCUUUUUGUAUAACUUUUUAGAAUAAUCUGAACCGUCAAUCUUUAAUCCUAAGGCUAAGAUGAUUUUAACUGAGAAACCCUAGUCAUUUCCUUGUCUCUCUCUUCCUCUCUUUCUCUGCGAUGGUAGAGCCAAGAUUUGACUCUAUCUCUAUUUUUAACCAAGUUUUGACAUCCACAGCCCAAGACUAGAACCUUGCGUGCCUAUUUCGAACAAAGGAGAUCUCUUUUCGCUUUUAUUUUUGCUUGUUUGUAGAUGCAUUGCUAUUUUUUCACCCCAAAACAAAUCGAAUCCUCACAUAGCAGUCGGUAAUAUCACUGUUUUGGGCAUUUCUAUGGCGUAUCUCUGCCAUAUUAAAAGGGUUUGACGAUCGUUCGAGAUUGCGGAGUAGAGGCCGGAGAUAUCAGACCUUGAUGCGACCCUAGUUCCUGCACCACAAAAUGUUCUGAGGUAGGUUCAUCUGACUAUCAGACCGGUGCGCGUCCCUGAUCAUAGUCCGAGACUUUCACGAUGAGUUGCUUCCCUUUGUGUGCCGAUCAGCAGCUGGAUGGAGUCUUCCUUACUUUUGACUGUCUAUUCUAUUUCACACAGUAGGAUAGAUGUAUUAUUUUAUAUAUUCUACUAGUUGCCCACAGCUUGUGACACCAUGUCUUGACACACACAUAUAGACGUUUCUUUUGGAUUGUUUAAUUAUUAUUGAAUGUUGCAUGUUAU